UAGGGAAUAUUGGACAAUGGGGGCAACCCUGAUCCAGCCAUGCCGCGUGAGUGAAGAAGGCCCUCGGGUUGUAAAGCUCUUUUGUCCGGAAAGAAAAGCUUCGGGUUAAUACCCCGGGGUUCUGACGGUACCGGAAGAAUAAGCACCGGCUAACUUCGUGCCAGCAGCCGCGGUAAUACGAAGGGUGCAAGCGUUACUCGGAAUUACUGGGCGUAAAGCGUGCGUAGGUGGUUGUUUAAGUCUGAUGUGAAAGCCCUGGGCUCAACCUGGGAAUGGCAUUGGAAACUGGGCAGCUAGAGUGCGGUAGAGGGUAGUGGAAUUCCCGGUGUAGCAGUGAAAUGCGUAGAGAUUGGGAGGAACAUCUGUGGCGAAGGCGACUGCCUGGACCAGCACUGACACUGAGGCACGAAAGCGUGGGGAGCAAACA
rnacentral:rRNA from 1 species